rnacentral:rRNA from 1 species
GACGAACGCUGGCGGCGUGCUUAACACAUGCAAGUCGAACGGAAAGGCCCUGCUUUUGUGGGGUGCUCGAGUGGCGAACGGGUGAGUAACACGUGAGUAACCUGCCCUUGACUUUGGGAUAACUUCAGGAAACUGGGGCUAAUACCGGAUAGGAGCUCCUGCUGCAUGGUGGGGGUUGGAAAGUUUCGGCGGUUGGGGAUGGACUCGCGGCUUAUCAGCUUGUUGGUGGGGUAGUGGCUUACCAAGGCUUUGACGGGUAGGCGGCCUGAGAGGGUGAACGGCGACAUUGGGACUGAGAUACGGCCCAGGCUCCUACGGGAGGCAGCAGUGGGGAAUAUUGCACAAUGGGCGGAAGCCUGAUGCAGCAACGCCGCGUGCGGGAUGACGGCCUUCGGGUUGUAAACCGCUUUCGCCUGUGACGAAGCGUGAGUGACGGUAAUGGGUAAAGAAGCACCGGCUAACUACGUG